CAUGGCUGGGCGCGGAGGUGGGAGAGGCGCUGCACGAGUCGCAUCGCGUUUGAAGGAGUUGCGGCCAGGGCAAAACCUCCCCAGCGCGCCCUUCGAGGAAAGGGGGCUCCCACCGCCUUUCAUUAUUUGCCAAGAAACGUAAGCCCAGAGAGGUGUUCCAGGAUGGGAAUAUUCACAGUCCUGUGUUAUCCAGUGUCAGCAGAGGGAUGGGAACACCUUGGACUGAGGCAGUUCUUCACCUUUUCAGGGUGGCAAGAACAGCAGCAGUGAGAGAUUUAUCCUUGAGGAGGGGAGGAUGCAGGGGGAUCCAACAGCAGCCAUGCAGUACCUACGGGAGGUUAUUGAGAAGACAGCCAGACUCUUCAGAGCAGUGUAUGGUGAGAGGAACAGAGACAACAGGUAUUAGGUAAGUAAAGAGAAGUUCAGACUGAUGAUAAAGACACUUUUUUCCAUGAAGGCAGCCAAGCAUGAGCAGCUUGCCCAGAGAAGCUGUGCCAUCUCCAUCCUCUGAGGUUUUCAAGCCCCUACUGGACAGUGAGAUCUUACAGUGGACCUUGCUUUGAGCAGAAGGUUGAACAAGAGGCCUGCUGGGGUCCCCUCUGACCUGAAGUGUUCUGCCACACUAUGAUGAGGUCAACAUGGGUGGGCUCAGAGGAAUGGCAACACUGCAGGACUGCUCCACCUUCUCACAAGAUGAACUCCAACAAGCAGCUAUUCGGGUUCCUGAAGGCUGGAAGUAGGUGGCUGGGCCAGGCUAAGGCCAUGGAUCACCAGAACUGGCUUCACAGAAUCAUAUAAUAGAAUCCUAGAAUAAUUUGGGUUGGAAGGGACCUAUAGGCCAUCUUGUUCCACUACCCAGCCAUGUGCAGGGACACUUUCCACUAGCCCAGGUUGCUCCAAGCCCUGUCCAACCUGGCCUUGGACACUUCCAGGGAUGGAGCAGGCACAGCUUCUCUGGGCAACCUGUGCCAGGGCCUCCCCACCCUCACUUCCUCUGUUGUGAUUUUUGGAGUUACCUUUUAGUCAAGCUUUUUCACAGCAAUGCCAGUGCAGUCACGGGUGCAGUGAACAGGCAGCAGCACUAGGAGGAGGUCAGGGAGAGAGAGGCUGGACCAACAGCUGCUGCAGGAGCUGGUACACCAGGACAUGGCCUGAAAAGCAACGGGUCCUAAAAGGAUUGUGGGUUCUUUGGAAUUCCUUGCUGGAUCACUGAAAUCUGGUCCAGGAUAGCAGGGGUCAAAUUAAAUCACAGCCUUUAUAGAAACAGCAAGACAUGGACAGAAAGGGCUCCUAACUCCUCUGGGAAGGAGGAGAGUCAUAGGGAGUCUUCCACCUUUGCACAAAUGUCACAGAAUCACAGAAUGGCCUGGGUUGGAAGGGACCUUAAAGAUCAUCUCAUUCCAACCCCCC
ensembl:lncRNA